rnacentral:rRNA from 1 species
AUGGCUCGCAAGAAGGUGACCCUCAAGUACAUCGCCAACGACUCCACCCGGCGCUCUAGGUUCAGGAAGCGUCUCAGGAGCCUGAUGAAAAAGGCGACCGAGCUGGCCACCAUGUGCGAUGUCAAGACCUGCGUCGUGGUGUACGGCGAGGGCGAGGCGGAGCCUCAGGUGUUCCCUUCCCACGCCGAGGCGGUGGAUAUCCUGAAUGAAUUCAAGAGCAUGCCGGAGCUGGGCCAUUGCAAGAAGACGAUGGACCAGGAGGCAUUCCUCACCCAGCGCAUCGCCAAGCUCCGGGACCAGGUGGACAAGGCUCGCCGCGAGUGCCAGGACAGCGAGAUCAGGUACCUCCUUUACAACAUCAUGCACGGCAACCACCCAGGCCUCGUUGAUCUCAGCGCCGAGGACGUCGCCCGCGUUGGCUGGAAGGUGGACGAGCUACUCAAGAGCCUCGGCGAACGCAUGGCAAAAAACCAUGUCCAGGCGCCGCCGCCAGCUCCAUCCGUCAGCACCGACAGCAUCGACAUGGCGCCUCCCUCGCAGUAUCUGACCCGCUGUGCAUGGCCAGCUAUCGUGCGAUCGAUCUCUCGUUAUUUAUUUACGCUCGUUUCACCCGCGCUAACCCCGAAUCUGACCGGUCGGGCCCACGAAUCAGUUGCCACGCAGGAAACGGACGGCCGCCGCGCGUUGACGGCCGUUAACGGCCCGUCCGCCUGUCGGAACGGCGGCUGUCGGUGGUCCAACAAGUGA